UACGGGGGGUGCAAGCGUUAAUCGGAAUUACUGGGCGUAAAGCGCACGCAGGCGGUUUGUUAAGUCAGAUGUGAAAUCCCCGAGCUUAACUUGGGAACUGCAUUUGAAACUGGCAAGCUAGAGUCUUGUAGAGGGGGGUAGAAUUCCAGGUGUAGCGGUGAAAUGCGUAGAGAUCUGGAGGAAUACCGGUGGCGAAGGCGGCCCCCUGGACAAAGACUGACGCUCAGGUGCGAAAGCGUGGGGAGCAAACAGG
rnacentral:rRNA from 1 species